AAGGAUCAUUAACGAAUAUAAUUCGAGGGGUUGUCGCUGGCCUCGCUCGCGCGAGGCAUGUGCACGCUUCUCGUUUUUCUCUCAACUCACCUGUGCACCUAAUGUAGGAUGCCUCUCCUCCGGGAGGGGGGACCUAUGUCUUCGUAACAUCUUCGUGUAGAAAGUCUUUGAAUGUUUACUAUCAUCGAGUCGCGACUUCUAGGAGACGCGAUUCUUUGAGAUAAAAGUUAUUACAACUUUCAGCAACGGAUCUCUUGGCUCUCGCAUCGAUGAAGAACGCAGCGAAAAGCGAUAUGUAAUGUGAAUUGCAGAUCUACAGUGAAUCAUCGAAUCUUUGAACGCACCUUGCGCUCCUCGGUGUUCCGAGGAGCAUGCCUGUUUGAGUGUCAGUAAAUUCUCAACCCCUCUCGAUUAGCUUCGAGAGGGCGCUUGGAUAGUGGAGGUUGCCGGAGACUUGGAUUCGUCCGAGACUCGGGCUCUUCUGAAAUGCAUCGGCUUGCGGUCGACUUUCGACUAUGUGCGACAAGGCUUUCGGCGUGAUAAUGAUCGCCGUUCGCUGAAGCGCAUGACUGAACGUCCCGUGCCUCUAAUGUGUCGACCGCUUAUUAUCUCUCCGGAGAGAACAGGGUCUUCCUUAUUGACUUUUGACCUCAAAUCAGGUAGGACUACCCGCUGAACUUAA
rnacentral:rRNA from 1 species